rnacentral:lncRNA from 1 species
AUAACGAAUGAAUACAAAUGCGCAAUAAUGUACAUAUAAUAUAUACAAAACAAAAAUAAAACAAAAAAAUUAUAAAAUGAAAUAAAAUAAAAACAAAGAAAGAGAAUCAUUUUAAAAAAAGAGAGAGAGAACGUGCAUAACAAAGGAAAAUGGGGUCUUCUUCCCCAAGGACCCACAAUGGUCUUCUUCCUCUAGCCCGUGCGGGCUUUGUUUUCUACCAGCAUCUUGGCCAGCGCCGGAUAUGGCGCCGCCUCGCCCAAUCUACUUCAGCGGUGACAAUAAAAGAAUGGAGGAACUCCGCCACUAAGACUUCUAUUGUUUCAUAUAAGAUAUUGGAUCCCUCGUAGGUCGAUUCCGCCCAUGGGGUUUCAUAUAAGAAAUUGGGUCCCUCACAGGUCGAUCUCGACCAUGGGGGUUUUAGAGAAGAGAUUGCGUCCCUCACAGGUCGAUUCUGACCAUGGGAUUUCAGAAAAUACCUCUUGGGUCACGGCUUUGGCUGCCGGUGAGUCCAUGGACACAUCUGCCGUUUCGAAGUGAGAGUGGUUCCCUCGCAGGUCGAUUCCGACCAUGCGGUUUCAACCAAAACCUCUUGGGUCACGACUUUAGCUGUAUGUGAGACCGUGGACUCUUAUGCCAUUUUAGAGAUGAAAUUGGGUCCGACAGGUCGAUUCUGACCAUGGGUUUAAAUUGGCACCUCUUAGUGAGUCUCUGAACUUUAAAGCUCGACUCAGUUAUGGUGGAUUCAACAGUGGUGAAAUUACACAGAUAUGAAAUAAUGGUGAAAAAUGAAUAAAUAAAAAAAAUAGACCUAUUAGUGUUGUUUAGUUGUUGGCUGCCACUUAGAUUCUAGACCAGAAGAAAAAUAAAUAAUGUUCUAUGUUGGAUAGUAACCUUUAUAGGAUAAGGUUGCUGCUACUUUUUUUUCUUCUUAGGAUAAGGUUGUUCAGUGUAUCUGUUUAAUUAAUGAUAGAUGUUGAGUGUGUUUAAGGCUGAUGGUUGUGUUUUAGGUUGAUGAUUGUGUUUAGAUUAGUAUUAAGUGGGGCUAUUUCCUAUUUAAUCAUGUAAGUAUGUUUAAUUGCCACCUAGUCUCUAGGUGGGUAUUCAGAAC